rnacentral:lncRNA from 1 species
UUGACUUUGGGCAAGGCCUUUAACCUUGCUGAGCCUCCAUUUCCUCAUCUGUAAUAUGGGGAUAGUGAUCAUACUUAGAUAAUGGAGAUAAACCUUUCAAAUUGCUUGACACAAAGCUGACACUGGUGUCCACCUCCACCAGUGGCCACAAUUGUUAUGAAUAUAUGGGCACUGGGGACCCAAGAUGGGAGGGCAGGGAGUGUCAUAAGGGCUCUGCAAGAUUGGGCAGCUCAUCUCCAGUGUCACAUGGCACCUCAUUUCAGAACAUGGAGUCAGGGACGCUAUCCGACUCUGGCCGAAACUCACUGUCCAGCCUGCCCACCUACAGCACCGGAGGUGCCGAGCCAACCACCAGCUCCCCAGGCGGGCACCUGCCUUCCCAUGGCUCUGCCAGUUGUGGUGGCUCACAUCUGUAAUCCCAGCACUUUGGGAGGCCGAGGUGGGCGGAUUGCUUGAGCUCGGGAGUUUGAGACCAACCUGGGUAACAUGGGGAAACCCCAUUUCUACUAAAAAUAAAUUAGCUAAGUGUGGUGGCAUGUACCUGUAGUCCCAGCUACUUGGGAGGCUGAGGUGGGCGGAUCACUUGAGCCCAGGAGGAGGAGGUUACAAUGGACUGACAUUCCACCAUUGUACUCCAGCCUGGGCGACAGAGCAAGACUCUAUCUCAAAACAAAAAACAAAACUUGUGGGGUGGAAAGGAAUCAGAGUGCAUGGAUU